AGUGAACGCUGGCGGUAGGCCUAACACAUGCAAGUCGAACGGCAGCACAGGAGAGCUUGCUCUCUGGGUGGCGAGUGGCGGACGGGUGAGGAAUACAUCGGAAUCUACUCUGUCGUGGGGGACAACGUAGGGAAACUUACGCUAAUACCGCAUACGACCUAAGGGUGAAGGCAGGGGAUCUUCGGACCUUGCGCGAGUGAAUGAGCCGAUGUCGGAUUAGCUAGUUGGAGGGGUAAAGGCCCACCAAGGCGACGAUCCGUAGCUGGGCUGAGAGGAUGAUCAGCCACACUGGAACUGAGACACGGUCCAGACUCCUACGGGAGGCAGCAGUGGGGAAUAUUGGACAAUGGGCGCAAGCCUGAUCCAGCCAUACCGCGUGGGUGAAGAAGGCCUUCGGGUUGUAAAGCCCCUUUGUUGGGAAAGAAAUCCAGCUGGCUAAUACCCGGUUGGGAUGACGGUACCCAAAGAAUAAGCACCGGCUAACUUCGUGCCAGCCGCCGCCGUAA
rnacentral:rRNA from 1 species